UACAUGUGGGGCAAGCGUUGUUCGGAAUUACUGGGCAUAAAGGGUGCGUAGGCGGGCAGGUAAGUCCGUGGUGAAAUCUCUGAGCUUAACUCAGAAACUGCCAUGGAUACUAUUUGUCUUGAAUGUUGUGGAGGUAAGCGGAAUAUGUCAUGUAGCGGUGAAAUGCUUAGAUAUGACAUAGAACACCAAUUGCGAAGGCAGCUUACUACACAAAUAUUGACGCUGAGGCACGAAAGCGUGGGGAUCAAACAGG
rnacentral:rRNA from 1 species